rnacentral:lncRNA from 1 species
GUGGGUGAGGGACUCCAAAGAGAACCACGAGUGGAAGAAGCAGUGAAGAAAGUAGCAGGGGAGAAAAAUCAAAUAGACGGAGGAAGAAUGUUGAUCAGCAGAGAUGAGGACCCCAAAACAGGGAGAGGAGCCGGAAAAGGGAGGAGCUUAGAGCUGGAGGAGCGGAGAGGAGAGGUGAUCCACCGCCGAGGCGGACAGCAACGUGUGUCCUCUGCUGCCAUCUCCUGAACCCUGUCCUCCGAAUGCGAUGCUCUCCCAUGCUUUAGCCUUGAACUUCUUGACAAUACCCACUGCUUUUCUUUAUCACCUCCGGCAUGGCUUUGACCAUGCAUGCGUCUCUGUGUACCCUGCAGACCUCCCCCAGGAGCCCUACAAUCACCCCAAGUCUGCUGGGACAUCGGACAGGUCACAGUCGGCAUGUGACUUCCUGAGAUCUGGAAAUGACUUCCUGUGUAGGUCACAGUUGUCUCAGGUAGUCGAGAAGCCUGGAAGAGGAACGCAAGGGAUUCGGAAAUGGCUGUUACUCAGGUAA